AGGCGCGUAGCUCAGUGGGAGAGCGCCACCUUGACACGGUGGAGGUCGGCGGUUCAAUCCCGCCCGCGCCUACCA
rnacentral:tRNA from 1 species